rfam:Aedes aegypti strain Liverpool supercont1.4 genomic scaffold, whole genome shotgun sequence.
CCUCUCGUGGUGUAGGGGUAACGCGCCCUAUCUAGUGAAUAGAGAGACGUGAGUUCGAUUCUCACCGAGUAGA